UCUCCUAGGUGUAGGCAGCGCCCCCAGCGCGGUGGGCGCUUAUCGCGUAUCCGUGGUCGACGGCCUCCGGGCCCACUUCCCGGGAAAUGCGGCUGAAGACGGGAAAGAUGGCGCUACUUCUCUUCAACACGUCUAAGGAUCCCUGUUUGCAUCACAGUUUGUGGUAGCGAGAAGCUGGAGGAAACCAUGGCUGAAGAAAGAGUCAGAUCAGAGCCCACUUUGAGCUCUCUGCUUCCCAGCUCCAAACAGAAGCCCUCCUGAAGGAAGAUGAAAUUGUGGAGAAUGGUGAACGGAGCAUGCCUUCUGUCUCCCUCCUAGGAGAUCUGCAUUAUAACCUUAUCACGCUGUGCCACCAGGCUGUUAAACAUCUAGCAUUAGCUUAUUUAGCCUUUUGGGAAUUGCUUUCCUGGAAUUAUUGUGCAGCUUUACCUUUAACUUCCAUGGAAAGUCACUUCAAAGACCUUUUGAAAUUUAUCAUUGCACUUGCCUCUGAGAACAUUGCCGUCCAUAGCACUUGGUGUCCCAUUAAUAAAGUCUCACUUGAGAUGAUUUUCCGGGAAAAACUUAUGCUUGUGCUAAGGAACUAGUAAGUUUCAUUCUUUCUAAUACUAGGAAUUCUGUAAUUGCUUGUUUCACAAUUUUUAGUAAGAAAGCUCAGAAUCAAAUUUCAACUUAACUACAAUAAUUAUUUUGACAUAUUUAGGUUGUGAUAUUGUAAUAGGCUGCUGGAACAGGAGGAUGUUUGAAAACCGAAGACAAUACAACUUAGUGAAAUCUUU